rnacentral:rRNA from 1 species
AGUCGAGCGGAACGAUGAUAGCUUGCUAUCAGGCGUCGAGCGGCGGACGGGUGAGUAAUACUUAGGAAUCUACCUAGUAGUGGGGGAUAGCUCGGGGAAACUCGAAUUAAUACCGCAUACGACCUACGGGAGAAAGGGGGCAACUUGUUGCUCUCGCUAUUAGAUGAACCUAAGUCGGAUUAGCUAGAUGGUGGGGUAAAGGCCUACCAUGGCAACGAUCUGUAGCUGGUCUGAAAGGAUGAUCAGCCACACCGGGACUGAGACACGGCCCGGACUCCUACGGGAGCGCAGCAUUAAUUUCAGAAUUAUUUGAGACAACUGAGAGACACCUUGAUCCAGGCCAUGCGGAGUGCGGCGACGAACUGCUUUUUGGUUGCUAAAGCACUUUAUAGCAGUGAAGAAGACUCCGUGGUUAAUACCCACGGACGAUUGACAUUAGCUGCAGAACUAAGCACCGGUUAACUCUGUGCCAGCAGCCGCGGUAAUACAGAGGGUGCAAGCGUUAAUCGGAAUUACUGGGCGUAAAGCGAGCCGUAGGUGGCUUGAUAAGUCAUAUGUGAAAUCCCCGGGCUUAACCAGGGAACUCGCAUCUGAUACUGUUAGGCUAGAAUAGGUGAGAGGAAGGGUAUAAUUCCAUGUGUGGGGGGUGAAAUGCGUAUUUUAUUUGGAGGAAUACGGAUAGCGAAGGCAUCUUUUCUUGCAUCAUACCGACACUGAGGUUCGAAAGCGUGGGUAGCAAACAGGAUUAGAUACCCUGGUCGUCCACGCCGUAAACGAUGUCUACUUGUCGUUGGGUCCCUUGAGGACUUAGUGACGCAGCCCACCCAAUAAAUACACCGCCAGGGGAGUACGAGCCGCCGGGUUAGAACUCAAAAUGAAUUUAUUGGGGCCGGCACACCCAGUGGAACGUGUGGGUUUAUUUUCAUACAACGCAAAGAACCUUACCUGGUCUUGUUGUGAUCUACAGUCCGGCAGAAAAAGAAGGAGUGCCGGUGGGGUAAAUACAAGAAAAGUACCGCGCUGGCUGUCGUCAGCUCGUGUCGUGAGAUGUUGGGUUAAGUCCCGCAACGAGCGCAACCACUUGUCCUUAUUUACUACCGGGUGAAGCAGGGGGAGGUCGCGCCGAUACUGCCAGUGACAAACUGGAGGAAGGCGGGGACGACGUCAAGUCAUCAUGGCCCUUACGACCAGGGCUACACACGUGCUACAAUGGUAGGUACAGAGGGCAGCUACACAGCGAUGUGAUGCGAAUCUCAAAAAGCCUAUCGUAGUCCAGAUUGGAGUCUGCAACUCGACUCCAUGAAGUAGGAAUCGCUAGUAAUCGCGGAUCAGAAUGCCGCGGUGAAUACGUUCCCGGGCCUUGUACACACCGCCCGUCACACCAUGGGAGUUGAUUGCACCAGAAGUGGAUAGCUUAACCUUAAGGAAGGCG